AUUGAACGCUAGCGGGAUGCCUUACACAUGCAAGUCGAACGGCGUGGCGAACGGGUGAUUAAUGUAUCGGAACGUGCCCCGUAGCGGGGGAUAACUACGCGAAAGCGUAGCUAAUACCGCAUACUAUUGGCGCGGCCGAGAUCGGAUUAGCUAGUUGGUGGGGUAACGGCUCACCAAGGCGACGAUCCGUAGCGGGUUUGAGAGGACGACCAGCCACACUGGGACUGAGACACGGCCCAGACUCCUACGGGAGGCAGCAGUGGGGAAUCUUGGACAAUGGGGGAAAGCCUGAUCCAGCCAUGCCGCGUGUGCGAUGAAGGCCUUCGGGUUGUAAAGCACUGUUGUCAGGAAAGCGGUACCUGCAGAAAAAGCACCGGCUAACUACGUGCCAGCAGCCGCGGUAAUAC
rnacentral:rRNA from 1 species